CUGUCAAAAUAAAAUAGUGAAUUGAGUUCAAAUUAACCAGAAAAGAUAUAAACGUAAUCUCUGGGAUUCAACUUGAAAGAAUGUUCCAAGAACCACUUAGUUGGAGAACGAAAACUGUGCCGUUCAUUAACAAGUCCGGUGCUUUAUAAUAUAUUUAAAGAUGGUAAGGACGUGAAGAAAACAGGUUUGUAAAUGAUGUUGUACAUCAUGCAGAUAGCUCAGAAGAAGAAGCAGGAAUGUUUGACUGGAAAUAUAAACGAUGUUGUACAUAAUGCAGAUAGCUUAGGCGAAAAAGAGAUUGGUGAAAUGGAGAAUGAGACUAACUACGGUG
rnacentral:lncRNA from 1 species